rnacentral:rRNA from 1 species
UGCGCAGGCGGGAAAUUAAGUCAGUGGUGAAAGCCCCGAGCUCAACUUGGGAACUGCCAUUGAAACUGAUUUUCUUGAAUAUAGUUGAGGUAGGCGGAAUACAACAUGUAGCGGUGAAAUGCAUAGAUAUGUUGUAGAACACCAAUUGCGAAGGCAGCUUACUAAACUAUUAUUGACGCUGAGGCACGAAAGCGUGGGGAGCGAACAGGAUUAGAUACCCUGGUAGUCC